GCAGCUUUUCCCAGCCUAAAAGAAGAGAGGAGGAAGAGCAUCCCAGAGAGGAGAUGGAGGAGGAAGAGUUCAGAGAGAGAGAAAGAAAUGAAGGCACAGCUAAAGGAAAUGCAACUGCGAGCGCAUCGUAUCUGGAGAUUUGCUAGAGAGGAAAUACUGCUAACACAGUAUGUGGCCAAUGUGUGCAAAUGAGAGCAACCACACUGGAGUGCAUAAAUUUGUCCGAGCCUCUAAACACGUAUGAGCGUUCUGGAAACAACAAAGCAUGCGGUAAGUUUAAUGUGUCAGCUGCUCAGGCUUCAGAGGAAACCUGUGGGAGAGAUGCUUCUGUGUGAAGACUUUACAACAUGACUGUGAGCAUACAGUUGAGGUUUCAUUUACUCAUUUCAUUUUGACCAUCAGUGCAAAGUAUUUUUGACUCCUUGAACCUGAUUUGUUCACAGUUUGUGGCAUUGUCAUUUCGUGUGCUAGCAGGUGUAUGCUUUGUUUUCAUUCAGAAUGUCAGUGGAAAUACAUGUUCUAUGAUCAGUAUUGGUAACACCUUGUAUUUCAGUUAAGUUUUCAAUUUACUUGUAUUUAGACAGCAUCAGUCAACAAUACAAGUCAUCUCAAGACAUUUCACAUAUUAAGAUGUAAAGCCUUACAGUGUUAUAUUAUAGAGAGAAACCCAACAUACCCAAAGAUUCCCUUUUAGCAUGCUCUUUGGCAACAAUGGAAAGAAAUCCUCUAUUUAAUAGGAAUAAAACUCUGGCAGAACCAGACUCAUGCAGGGCAGACAUCUGCCUUGACCAGUUGGGAUGAGAGUGAAGGCGACAAAGAUAUGUAUAUCAAAAAGAGAACAGACAAACAAUGCAUAAGGGAGCCUUAAAUGUUUAGAGAAGAGUAGUUCUGGGGCCACAUAUUUGUUCUGUAAACAGAAGUUUGGUAUCAAUUUGGUCUCUGCAUUCAGUCUAGACCAAAAGGAAGAGAAAUGCAGCUCUUGGUUGCUCUUAUGUUAUCUUAUUUAGAACUUGUGCAUUGUUAGCUGGUUUGCUAAAAUUUGCACUCAAUCAGGAACCAGUUGAGUACCUCAGUGGGGAUCUAAUGUCAGUAAUUUGGGGAAACACAUGAAUCUUUUGUACACAGUAACUAUCACUAUUGGUGUCGGGUACCAGCCUGGUAUUUACUUGCUGUUGCUUCAGAAAGGAAUUAAGCGGUUUUUACAUUUCUACCAGAAGAAAAAAAUAAUCUGCACAACUUUUUAAACUGACAAGCCAAUUGUCCAGUUUUAUUACAUUUGCAGUUAUUUGGUAGAGUCUGUCCUUGUGUUCACCUUUUAUUUUCAAAUUACCUGCUCCAUCUACUCUAUCCAGUUUUGCUAACUUAUCAUAGCUGAAAGUUAUCUCUGUUUAGUUGACCCAGUUUACAGGCCCAGAACUCUGUUGUAUAUAUUGUAAAUUGAUUUGGUUUUUUUUGUUAAAUAAAAACACUUGUUUUGAA